GCCUGCCCAGUGACCCUGUUUAACGGCCGCGGUAUCCUAACCGUGCGAAGGUAGCGUAAUCACUUGUUCUCUAAAUGCGGACUAGUAUGAACGGCAUCACGAGGGUUAUACUGUCUCCUCUUUCUAAUCAGUGAAACUAAUCUCCCCGUGAAGAAGCGGGGGUAAAACUAUAAGACGAGAAGACCCUAUGGAGCUUUAAACAAUAUAGCACUUGCCUUUAGCAUAAAUUUCCAAAUUACUCCAAAGCAAUAUGACUAUAAGUUUUUGGUUGGGGUGACCACGGAGCAGAAUUUAACCUCCAUGUUGAAAGAAUUUAAGCUAAGAGUCACUCUUCUAAGCAUCAACAUAUUGACAUCAAUUGACCCAAUACAUUUGAACAACGAACCAAGUUACCCUAGGGAUAACAGCGCA
rnacentral:rRNA from 1 species